rnacentral:rRNA from 1 species
GUGGGGAAUUUUGGACAAUGGGCGCAAGCCUGAUCCAGCAAUGCCGCGUGCAGGAAGAAGGCCUUCGGGUUGUAAACUGCUUUUGUACGGAACGAAACGGUCCUGGUUAAUACCUGGGGCUAAUGACGGUACCGUAAGAAUAAGCACCGGCUAACUACGUGCCAGCAGCCGCGGUAAUACGUAGGGUGCAAGCGUUAAUCGGAAUUACUGGGCGUAAAGCGUGCGCAGGCGGUUUUGUAAGACAGGCGUGAAAUCCCCGGGCUGAACCUGGGAAUGGCGCUUGAGACUGCAAAGCUGGAGUGCGGCAGAAGGGGAUGGAAUUCCGCGUGUAGCAGUGAAAUGCGUAGAUAUGCGGAGGAACACCGAUGGCGAAGGCAAUCCCCUGGGCCUGCACUGACGCUCAUGCACGAAAGCGUGGAGAGCAAACAGGAUUAGAAACCCUGGUAGUCC